AAUCCUGUAUUAAGCAUGAGGGCAACCCCAUGUUGUAUAGUCUAUUGUCAAUUGACCUUUUCUCUCCAGAGGGAAAAAGAUGGGCUAGACAGCAUAUCACUUUUUUGAAAAAAAAAAAAUCAAGGAGACAAACUCCAUUACGUCUCCAAUACAUCACAGUGCUGUAACAAAACUCAGCCAAUGGAAGGUCCCCAUCUUAGGGUUAUUGAGCUACUGUUUUCCUAUAUCCUCAGUGAAUGGUGAUAAACA
rnacentral:lncRNA from 1 species